ACGACAUGAUGAGGAAAUUUUCUAAACAAGUUCCUUAAAUUCUCAUGAAUAAUAAAUAGAUUCAACAUCUAAUGGGUAAAAGAAGUGAUGUCAUUUCUAAGUUU